rnacentral:rRNA from 2 species
ACGGGUGAGUAAUGCCUAGGAAUCUGCCUGGUAGUGGGGGACAACGUUUCGAAAGGAACGCUAAUACCGCAUACGUCCUACGGGAGAAAGCAGGGGACCUUCGGGCCUUGCGCUAUCAGAUGAGCCUAGGUCGGAUUAGCUAGUUGGUGAGGUAAUGGCUCACCAAGGCGACGAUCCGUAACUGGUCUGAGAGGAUGAUCAGUCACACUGGAACUGAGACACGGUCCAGACUCCUACGGGAGGCAGCAGUGGGGAAUAUUGGACAAUGGGCGAAAGCCUGAUCCAGCCAUGCCGCGUGUGUGAAGAAGGUCUUCGGAUUGUAAAGCACUUUAAGUUGGGAGGAAGGGUUGUAGAUUAAUACUCUGCAAUUUUGACGUUACCGACAGAAUAAGCACCGGCUAACUCUGUGCCAGCAGCCGCGGUAAUACAGAGGGUGCAAGCGUUAAUCGGAAUUACUGGGCGUAAAGCGCGCGUAGGUGGUUCGUUAAGUUGGAUGUGAAAUCCCCGGGCUCAACCUGGGAACUGCAUCCAAAACUGGCGAGCUAGAGUAUGGUAGAGGGGUGGUGGAAUUUCCUGUGUAGCGGUG